CGGACGGGUGAGUAACGCGUGAGAAUUCGCCUUUAGGCGGGGAAUAACUAUAGGAAACCAUAGCUAAUGCCCCAUAUGCUCGCAAAGAGUGAAAGGAGCAAUCCACCCAAAGAGAAGCUCGCGGCUGAUUAGCUAGUUGGUAAGGUAAUGGCUUACCAAGGCGACGAUCAGUAGCUGGUUUGAGAGAACGAUCAGCCACACUGGAACUGAGACACGGUCCAGACUCCUACGGGAGGCAGCAGUGGGGAAUUUUCCGCAAUGGGCGAAAGCCUGACGGAGCAAUACCGCGUGAGGGAUGACGGCCUUGGGGUUGUAAACCUCUUUUAUCAAGGAGGAAGUUCUGACGUGUACUUGAUGAAUAAGCAUCGGCUAACUCCGUGCCAGCAGCCGCGGUAAGACGGAGGAUGCAAGUGUUGUCCGGAAUCACUGGGCGUAAAGCGUCUGUAGGUGGUUUAAAAAGUCUGCUGUUAAAAAUUGAAGCUUAACUUCAAAGAUGCCGUAGAAACUUUUAAACUUGAGGAUGGUAGGGGUAGAGGGAAUUUCCAGUGGAGCGGUGAAAUGCGUAGAUCUUGGAAAGACCACCAAUGGCGAAGGCACUCUACUGGGCCAUUACUGACACUGAGAGACGAAAGCUAGGGGAGCAAAUGGGAUUAGAUACCCCAGUAGUC
rnacentral:rRNA from 1 species